rnacentral:rRNA from 1 species
UACAGAGGUCCCAAGCGUUGUUCGGAUUUACUGGGCGUAAAGGGUGCGUAGGUGGGUUGGUAAGUCAGUGGUGAAAUCUCCGAGCUUAACUUGGAAACUGCCAUUGAUACUAUUAAUCUUGAAUAUUGUGGAGGUCAGCGGAAUAUGUCAUGUAGCGGUGAAAUGCUUAGAGAUGACAUAGAACACCAAUUGCGAAGGCAGCUGGCUACACAUAUAUUGACACUGAGGCACGAAAGCGUGGGGAUCAAACAGG